UACAGAGGAGCCAAGCGUUGUCCGGAUUGACUGGGCGUAAAGCGCACGCAGGCGGACGCGCGCGUGGGGUGUGAAAUCUGGCCGCUUAACGGCCAGGCGCCAUCCCAUACGGCGCGUCUGGAGUGAUGCAGAGGUCGGUGGAAUUGCCGGUGUAGUGGUGAAAUGCGUAGAGAUCGGCAGGAACACCCAGGGGGAAACCAGCCGACUGGGCAUCUACUGACGCUGAGGUGCGAGAGCGCGGGGAGCGAACCGG
rnacentral:rRNA from 1 species